UAAGAAUUAGUUAUAAAAAUAAUAUAAACUUGUCAUGUUUAAGUUGAGCUCUCAUUCUUAA
rnacentral:tRNA from 1 species